UCAGGAAGAAUCGAAAUCGAAAUUGUCUCUACUGGAAGUGAAAGGGUCUUUGUAAAGUAGGGCACGGUCUCAUUCUUCAAGGAUGUGCUAAAUCCUCCACCCGGCGAAAGCAAUAUCCAGAUGUUUUUCGCCUCUGACCGAUAUAGAUUAUUCUGGUGAAAGUGACUUGGAGAACGGAAACUGGAUGAAGAGUAUCCUUUCUGUCUGGCCAUUGUUUCCGAUUUUCAGCUUCCAUCCGUCGAAACAGAUGCUAUUAGAACAAGCUUUACUCUCGCCCGCGGUGCUUGUCACUUUUUUUUUUUUUUUUUUCAUUUUCAAUUUUUAUUCGAACAUCCGGGCGGCAGCCGAAGCUUGUCCCAAGGAACAUCUGUCUUACAGGAAGACCGUUCUAGAAUAGCCAGAUUUGCAUGUGGUCGGCGUUAAUGUGAAAAACGUAAAGCAAGUAAAUUAAAUACUGGCAAACGCAGCGACCGACCAUAGAAACAUCUGUGGAUGACCGAUGGAUGUCGCUUCAACACCUUUCCACUGUCGUAUGUCCUUGUCAAAUUUUGUUUAGUAGAACUGCAAUUAUCUGGAUUGUGGACAUCCGGAAUUCCUGUUAAAUGAACUGUUUGCUUUCCUUUCCAGUUAAAUAAGACAAAAAUAAGUUGAAAUGUUAUCUUGUUUCCAUUUUUUAAAGACCGAAUUUAACCCCCCCUUCCGAUAACGGUACCUGAGCUUUUCAGGUAAGAAUAAUAUUUUAAAUGUUUUUAAUUAAAGCAAAAUUUGGAAGCUGCAUUUAAUAAGAAGGAAAUUUAAUAAUGUAUGUAGUUUUUGAAAUUGCGCCUAUCUUUAUUACGACGAUUCAAAUGAAAUUUAGUAAAUGAAGUGCGUAAUAAAAAUUCUCAAGACUUGAGGUUCAUAUUAUCAACAUAAUUUGACAAAAUAUAGUUCAGCAUUUUUUUCCAAAAUGGUUUUAACUAAAGCAAUGAGGCGAAGUAUUAUUUCAGAAGUUAAUAACACAGACGAAUACUAAACAUAGAACGCUAAAUUUUGUGCGGAAAUUAAGAAUGUGACAUUCAGAAUUGCCGUGAAGUGAUAUUUAUAAUAUACAUAUCAAUAAACCUCAAACACCGUCUUUCUCCAAAAUAUGGUUCCAGGCAACUUUGGUGUACCAUGGAAUUGAUUAUCCCAAAGAAGUAAUAUUCAGUAUGAAUGUCAAUAAAAUAUCCUCUGACAUAAAUAUAUGUUGUUGCCGGUGGCAAUGAAUAAGAUCUUUCAUUUAUCUUUGAUAUCAUAAAAGUGCGUUAUUGAGACCUGCAAUAAGUUAAUCCAAAAUCCCCAACCUUGUCCCCGCGAUCAACAUUGCGCCUGCCGAAGGUUUUACGUGUGCUUGCUGCUCAACGAUAACGAUAAAAAAAUCAUUAAAAAAGUUUUCAAUAAAAUGCAAAAUUUGUUCACAGAUAGCAGUUAAAUAGAGAAAACUUUUACGCAUUAAAAUGCCUCCUUGUACUCGUGCAUUGUGGUGCCACCUACGAAGAGGAAUCCCUUUUGAAUGCGUAUUCUCCUAAAUGCCAUGUUAUAAUUAUUAUUAGUUAUAUGCCCAUGUUCUUUGUAUACGUGUCUCUUUCUUUAUUGUUGGUGUCUUCUACUUCAUUGUUUUUAUAUACUUUGCUAUUUUAAUCCCAAAAUGAGUAACUCAAGUAAAAGAAAAAGAAUCCAUAAAGUUAAUACUGACUGGGAAGAAUCAUAUUGCUUCGCCAAUUCUCUUAAAGAUAUAUGGGUUUGUUUAUUGUGCGGCAAUAGCAGUGCAGUUGCGAAAAAACAUAAUGCUGAACGUCACUUUCAGACAAUUCAUGCCUCAUUUAAUACGACUUAGUCACUUGAAUCUGAAGUAAGAAAGAAAAAAAUAAAUAAAUAAAUCAAAGCAAAGUAAAGUUGUUUAACAGAAAGUUUUUGCUAAGCUUAUGGUAAAAUGUAAAAAUGCUACUAGUAGUUCUCACUGAGAAUAAAAAGCUUUCCAUGAUGGUUAAUUGUCAAGAGAAGCAUUUUUAAGUGGUACCAGUUGAGGGAUUUUCUGAUAAACAUGAGAUUAUGCCAAAUAUACUAAACCGGCAAUUGUCAGAUAACACCGUGACAAGCAAAAGACAUGCAAACUGAGUUAAAGCGUAACU
rnacentral:lncRNA from 1 species